CCAUGCAAGUCGAACGAUGAAGCGGUGCUUGCACCGUGGAUUAGUGGCGAACGGGUGAGUAACACGUGAGCAACCUGCCCUGGACUCUGGGAUAAGCGCUGGAAACGGUGUCUAAUACUGGAUAUGAGCUCUCAUCGCAUGGUGGGGGUUGGAAAGAUUUUUUGGUCUGGGAUGGGCUCGCGGCCUAUCAGCUUGUUGGUGAGGUAAUGGCUUACCAAGGCGUCGACGGGUAGCCGGCCUGAGAGGGUGACCGGCCACACUGGGACUGAGACACGGCCCAGACUCCUACGGGAGGCAGCAGUGGGGAAUAUUGCACAAUGGGCGGAAGCCUGAUGCAGCAACGCCGCGUGAGGGAUGACGGCCUUCGGGUUGUAAACCUCUUUUAGCAGGGAAGAAGCGUGAGUGACGGUACCUGCAGAAAAAGCGCCGGCUAACUACGUGCCAGCAGCCGCGGUAAUACGUAGGGCGCAAGCGUUAUCCGGAAUUAUUGGGCGUAAAGAGCUCGUAGGCGGUUUGUCGCGUCUGCUGUGAAAUCCCGAGGCUCAACCUCGGGUCUGCAGUGGGUACGGGCAGACUAGAGUGCGGUAGGGGAGAUUGGAAUUCCUGGUGUAGCGGUGGAAUGCGCAGAUAUCAGGAGGAACACCGAUGGCGAAGGCAGAUCUCUGGGCCGUAACUGACGCUGAGGAGCGAAAGGGUGGGGAGCAAACAGGCUUAGAUACCCUGGUAGUCCACCCCGUAAACGUUGGGAACUAGUUGUGGGGACCAUUCCACGGUUUCCGUGACGCAGCUAACGCAUUAAGUUCCCCGCCUGGGGAGUACGGCCGCAAGGCUAAAACUCAAAGGAAUUGACGGGGACCCGCACAAGCGGCGGAGCAUGCGGAUUAAUUCGAUGCAACGCGAAGAACCUUACCAAGGCUUGACAUACACCAGAACACCGUAGAAAUACGGGACUCUUUGGACACUGGUGAACAGGUGGUGCAUGGUUGUCGUCAGCUCGUGUCGUGAGAUGUUGGGUUAAGUCCCGCAACGAGCGCAACCCUCGUUCUAUGUUGCCAGCACGUUAUGGUGGGAACUCAUGGGAUACUGCCGGGGUCAACUCGGAGGAAGGUGGGGAUGACGUCAAAUCAUCAUGCCCCUUAUGUCUUGGGCUUCACGCAUGCUACAAUGGCCGGUACAAAGGGCUGCAAUACCGUGAGGUGGAGCGAAUCCCAAAAAGCCGGUCCCAGUUCGGAUUGAGGUCUGCAACUCGACCUCAUGAAGUCGGAGUCGCUAGUAAUCGCAGAUCAGCAACGCUGCGGUGAAUACGUUCCCGGGUCUUGUACACACCGCCCGUCAAGUCAUGAAAGUCGGUAACACCUGAAGCCGGUGGCCCAACCCUUGUGGAGGGAGCCGUCGAA
rnacentral:rRNA from 2 species